UCUCUCUGAAUCUGCGAACGGCUCCGCAAACCAGUUGUAAACAUAGGCAAGUCCCGCUCUUGAUUGGCCCUUUCGGGGGCUGGUCCUGGGCAUUUAUAUGGAUACCCGUGGUAAUUCUGAGGCUAAUACAUGACAAUAAUACCCUGCCGUCAGUCUGCCGGUGCCCCUCGGGGUGCCGGAUGUGAUGGAUGGCGGGGGACGCGCGACAUAUGGCUGGGUAACUCGGGAAAGAACGCGCGUUCGGACCACCGCUUGCGGGCCUUGCGUAGGAAGGGUGCGGCUUGCCGUGCUUGGACUUGCUUGGCCUGGUGGCUCUUGCUGCGUGCUUCUGACCUAUCAACUAGAUGGCAGCAUAAGGGACAUGCCAUGGUGACAACGGGUACAGAGGAUCAGGGUUCGAUCCUGGAGAGUGGGCCUGAGAGAUU
rnacentral:rRNA from 1 species